UUGCUCUUCUUCUUCUUCUUCAUUCUUCAAAACCCUAAACCAAAAAAUAAAUAUCUUUGUAAGAGUUUGACAUGAUGUUUCGUUAUCUUCUCCGGUUAACGUCUUCAUAAAAAAGAAACGCCGAUGAUGAUCAGAUUGCUUUCUGCAUCAUCAGAUGGAUCCAUCUCUGAAUUCCGAUGAUUCUUCUUCUCCAUCCAAUCCAAAGUAGACAUCAUUCAAGUAUAAAAGCCGAUCGAUGAUGAUCAGAUCAAUCGAUCUGUGUAAUGAUCUCCAUCCAUCUCCCGAGUCUUCACCGAGUCAUUUUUGUUUAUAUAUGAGUAGGUCAAUGCUGGAGGAACCAACACCAAAAGGCUUGAUGACACUGAGAAAACCUUUACUCAGAGCUUCUUCGUGUAUUGAUUUAUGCAACUAUGAAUCCAGAUGAACGUGUACUGCCCACUAAGCUAAAAUUAAAGCCAUUAUGCAAGCCCCUGAACAUCGGAUCAUCGGAUCGGAUCCAUCUCUGCAAUGCUAUGGCCUAUGCUCAGGUGGCAAUGGCAUGGAUGUAAUACAACAAACUAUGGUGAAGAGAAUGGGUUGGUUUCUCUGUUUCCAUUAUUCGUUUGAUCGAUUCAGGUAAGCCUGACUCAUCAAUAUGUAUGUAUUUGUCUCAAUUUUUUGUGCUACAUCUACAUGUGUAUGUUUUUUUUGAAUAGCAUAUAGAAUGUAAUAUGUGUUUCACGUGUUUGGUGUUUCUUUUAGACCCUAAAUGUGACUGUGGGUAUACAAUUAAGAUGUAUCAGAACGAGAAUUGUUUUCUGGGGAAUGUAGUGUCAUCUUACUCAU